rnacentral:rRNA from 1 species
AUUGAACGCUGGCGGCGUGCUUUACACAUGCAAGUCGAACGGUAACAGGGUGCUUGCACCACUGACGAGUGGCGAACGGGUGAGUAAUGCAUCGGAACGUACCGUGUAGUGGGGGAUAACGUAGCGAAAGUUACGCUAAUACCGCAUACGCCCUGAGGGGGAAAGCGGGGGAUCUUCGGACCUCGCGCUAUAUGAGCGGCCGAUGUCGGAUUAGCUAGUUGGUGGGGUAAAGGCCUACCAAGGCAACGAUCCGUAGCGGGUCUGAGAGGAUGAUCCGCCACACUGGGACUGAGAAACGGCCCAGACUCCUACGGGAGGCAGCAGUGGGGAAUUUUGGACAAUGGGCGAAAGCCUGAUCCAGCCAUGCCGCGUGAGUGAAGAAGGCCUUCGGGUUGUAAAGCUCUUUCAGCUGGAAAGAAAACGCUCGGGAUAAUACCCCGGGCGGAUGACGGUACCAGCAGAAGAAGCACCGGCUAACUACGUGCCAGCCGCCGCGGUAA